UCCUCAGACUCUCUCCUCUCUCAACUCUCAACCCUAGGAUAUAGCCUCCGCCACCGCCGUAAGGAGAGACUCAGUGCUACCGCCGUCCAUUGUGCUCAGGGGCCACCGUCACAGGGAGUGAAAAACUGCCAUCGUUCGCUGCGUUGUAGUCGUGCUCUAAGUCUCCCCCUGUUCACUCUCACAGUCUCACCAAUCGCAGCUUCUUCUUCGAGCUCGGUGUCUGACGUUGUCUUCUUCUACUCAGCCCCACUUCAUAUGGCUUCCCGUGGUGGCUCCGUGGACUGUGAUAACUAAGAAGAUUAUAGCUGUUGUAGAAACUAUUAGAAGCACCAAAACCCCAACAACUAAUGCUACAUUGCUACUACAGGAAUAGGUCUCCAACGGCGCAGCAGCAGCAGCACCCACUCUCUCCCUCGUCCCUCCCAUCACCCUCGAGCUAGUCGUUCCUCUCAACGCCGGCCAUCUCAGUCCCUCCCUUUCGUUCAGCCGCCGGACUGAUCUUGACGCCGUCGCAAGUUGGAGCUUCGAAGCUCACUCGGUCCCUCACUCCUGCUCGUGCAGCUAACGUCUCAGACUCUCAGCAGUGGAAGCACAGUCGCCGGGCUCGCCUCCUGCCUCCAUCGCGAAGCUCUCUUCCACCGUCGCCGGCGCCAUCUCUGUUCCUCCGUCGCAAGCUCUGUUCCUGCCUCCGUCGCCAGCUCUGUUCUAUGCUUCAUUGCUUCUAGCUUCUAGGGAAGAUGAAUAACUGGUAGUGGUUGUAACGGAAGCAAUUUAACUAACUUCUUUCAAUGGAAUCUCCUCUCUCUCUUGAAUUCUGGAAACAGCAUCAUGGGUUUGCUUAAGCUAAGGCUUAAUUAUAAUGCUUCUUCUGCUGCUAUUCACUCUCCUUUCUCUUUCAACAAUCACUCAUCUAUCACACUUUCUUCUGAUCAGUUCAAUUCUUUCCUCAUUUCAUUUCAUGUAA